UACGAAGGGUGCAAGCGUUACUCGGAAUUACUGGGCGUAAAGCGUGCGUAGGUGGUGCGUUAAGUCUGUCGUGAAAGCCCCGGGCUCAACCUGGGAAUGGCGUUGGAUACUGGCAGGCUAGAGUGCGGUAGAGGGGAGUGGAAUUCCCGGUGUAGCAGUGAAAUGCGCAGAGAUCGGGAGGAACAUCAGUUGCGAAGGCGGCUACCUGGACCAGCACUGACACUGAGGCACGAAAGCGUGGGGAGCAAACAGG
rnacentral:rRNA from 1 species